rnacentral:rRNA from 2 species
UGGGGGAUAUUGCGCAAUAGGGGCAACCCUGACGCAGCAACGCCGCGUGAAGGAUGAAGGUUUUCGGAUUGUAAACUUCUUUUAUUAAGGACGAAACUUGACGGUACUUAAUGAAUAAGCUCCGGCUAACUACGUGCCAGCAGCCGCGGUAAUACGUAGGGAGCAAGCGUUGUCCGGAUUUACUGGGUGUAAAGGGUGCGUAGGCGGCUUUGCAAGUCAGAUGUGAAAUCUAUGGGCUCAACCCAUAAACUGCAUUUGAAACUGUAGAGCUUGAGUGAAGUAGAGGCAGGCGGAAUUCCCCGUGUAGCGGUGAAAUGCGUAGAGAUGGGGAGGAACACCAGUGGCGAAGGCGGCCUGCUGGGCUUUAACUGACGCUGAGGCACGAAAGCGUGGGUAGCAAACAGGAUUAGAUACCCUGGUAGUCCACGCUGUAAACGAUGAUUACUAGGUGUGGGGGGUCUGACCCCUUCCGUGCCGGAGUUAACACAAUAAGUAAUCCACCUGGGGAGUACGGCCGCAAGGUUGAAACUCAAAGGAAUUGACGGGGGCCCGCACAAGCAGUGGAGUAUGUGGUUUAAUUCGAAGCAACGCGAAGAACCUUACCAGGUCUUGACAUCCAACUAACGAAGUAGAGAUACAUUAGGUGCCCUUCGGGGAAAGUUGAGACAGGUGGUGCAUGGUUGUCGUCAGCUCGUGUCGUGAGAUGUUGGGUUAAGUCCCGCAACGAGCGCAACCCUUGCUAUUAGUUGCUACGCAAGAGCACUCUAAUAGGACUGCCGUUGACAAAACGGAGGAAGGUGGGGACGACGUCAAAUCAUCAUGCCCCUUAUGACCUGGGCUACACACGUACUACAAUGGAUGUUAACAGAGGGAAGCAAGACAGCGAUGUGGAGCAAACCCCUAAAAACAUUCUCAGUUCAGAUUGCAGGCUGCAACCCGCCUGCAUGAAGAUGGAAUUGCUAGUAAUCGCGGAUCAGCAUGCCGCGGUGAAUACGUUCCC